rnacentral:rRNA from 1 species
UACGUAGGGUGCAAGCGUUAAUCGGAAUUACUGGGCGUAAAGCGUGCGCAGGCGGUUUUGUAAGUCUGUCGUGAAAUCCCCGGGCUCAACCUGGGAAUUGCGAUGGAGACUGCAAGGCUAGAAUCUGGCAGAGGGGGGUGGAAUUCCACGUGUAGCAGUGAAAUGCGUAGAGAUGUGGAGGAACACCGAUGGCGAAGGCAGCCCCCUGGGUCAAGAUUGACGCUCAUGCACGAAAGCGUGGGGAGCAAACAGG